rnacentral:tRNA from 1 species
GCCCCUGUAGCUCAGCGUGGAUAGAGCGGCUGCCUUCUAAGCAGCGGGUCGCAGGUUCGAGUCCUGCCGGGGGCG